rnacentral:rRNA from 1 species
GACGAACGCUGGCGGCGUGCGUAACACAUGCAAGUCGAACGAGAGAGUGAGAGAAGCUUGCUUUUCUUACGAUCGAGUGGCAAACGGGUGAGUAACGCGUAAACAACCUGCCCCGCAGAUGGGGACAACAGCUGGAAACGGCUGCUAAUACCGAAUACGGUCCUCUUAGCGCAUGGUAAGAGGAAGAAAGGGUGGCCUCUGGAACAAGCUACCGCUGCGGGAGGGGUUUGCGUCUGAUUAGCUGGUUGGAGGGGUAACGGCCCACCAAGGCGACGAUCAGUAGCCGGUCUAAGAGGAUGAACGGCCACAUUGGAAACUGAGACACGGUCCAGACUCCUACGGGGAGGCAAGCAGUGGGGAAUCUUUCCCGCAAAUGGAUCGAAAAGCCCGGACGGAGCAAACCGCCCGCGUGAAGUGAAAGACGGCCUUUCCGGGUUGUAAAAGCUUCUAUUAUUAGGGGCCGG